ACUGCUCAGUAACACGUGGACAAUCUAACCUACGGAAGAGGAUAACCCCGGGAAACUGGGGAUAAUACUCUAUAGACUAUGGAGGCUGGAAUGCACUGUAGUCCAAAGGUCCGCCGCCGUAGGAUGGGUCUGCGGCCGAUUAGGUUGUUGUUGGGGUAACGGCCCAACAAGCCUGUAAUCGGUACGGGUUGUGGGAGCAAGAGCCCGGAGAUGGAUUCUGAGACACGAAUCCAGGCCCUACGGGGCGCAGCAGGCGCGAAAACUUUACAAUGCGGGAAACCGUGAUAAGGGAACUCCGAGUGCCCGUAAAAUCGGGCUGUCCAUCAGUUUAAAUAACUGGUGAAGAAAGGGCCGGGCAAGACCGGUGCCAGCCGCCGCGGUAAUACCGGCGGCUCGAGUGGUGGCCACUAUUACUGGGCUUAAAGCGUUCGUAGCUGGUUUGUUAAGUCUCUGGGGAAAUCUUCCGGCUUAACCGGAAGGCGCCUCAGGGAUACUGGCAGACUAGGGACCGGGAGAGGUGAGGGGUACUCCAGGGGUAGGAGUGAAAUCCUGUAAUCCUUGGGGGACCACCUGUGGCGAAGGCGCCUCACCAGAACGGCUCCGACAGUGAGGGACGAAAGCUGGGGGAGCAAACCGGAUUAGAUACCCGGGUAGUCCCAGCCGUAAACGAUGUGCAUUAGGUGUAUCGGUGACCACGAGUCACCGAGGUGCCGAAGAGAAAUCGUGAAAUGCACCGCCUGGGAAGUACGGUCGCAAGGCUGAAACUUAAAGGAAUUGGCGGGGGAGCAC
rnacentral:rRNA from 1 species